rnacentral:rRNA from 1 species
UACGAAGGGGACUAGCGUUGUUCGGAAUUACUGGGCGUAAAGCGCGCGUAGGCGGAUCGCUAAGUCAGGGGUGAAAUCCCAGGGCUCAACCCUGGAACUGCCUUUGAUACUGACGAUCUGGAGAUCGGGAGAGGUUGGUGGAAUUCCGAGUGUAGGGGUGAAAUUCGUAGAUAUUCGGAGGAACACCAGAAGCGAAGGCGGCCAACUGGCCCGAUACUGACGCUGAGGCGCGAAAGCGUGGGGAGCAAACAGG